rnacentral:rRNA from 1 species
AGUGAACGCUGGCGGUAGACCUAACACAUGCAAGUCGAACGGCAGCACAGUAAGAGCUUGCUCUUACGGGUGGCGAGUGGCGGACGGGUGAGGAAUACAUCGGAAUCUACUUUUUCGUGGGGGAUAACGUAGGGAAACUUACGCUAAUACCGCAUACGACCUACGGGUGAAAGCAGGGGAUCUUCGGACCUUGCGCGAUUGAAUGAGCCGAUGUCGGAUUAGCUAGUUGGCGGGGUAAAGGCCCACCAAGGCGACGAUCCGUAGCUGGUCUGAGAGGAUGAUCAGCCACACUGGAACUGAGACACAGUCCAGACUCCUACGGGAGGCAGCAGUGGGGAAUAUUGGACAAUGGGCGCAAGCCUGAUCCAGCCAGACCGCGUGGGUGAAGAAGGCCUUCGGGUUGUAAAGCCCUUUUGUUGGGAAAGAAAAGCAGCAGGUUAAUACCCCGCUGUUCUGACGGUACCCAAAGAAUAAGCACCGGCUAACUUCGUG